GACGAACGCUGGCGGCGUGCUUAACACACGCAAGUCGAACGGAAAGGCCCUGCUUUUGUGGGGUGCUCGAGUGGCGAACGGGUGAGUAACACGUGAGUAACCUGCCCUUGACUUUGGGAUAACUUCAGGAAACUGGGGCUAAUACCGGAUAGGAGCUCCUGCUGCAUGGUGGGGGUUGGAAAGUUUCGGCGGUUGGGGAUGGACUCGCGGCUUAUCAGCUUGUUGGUGGGGUAGUGGCUUACCAAGGCUUUGACGGGUAGCCGGCCUGAGAGGGUGACCGGCCACAUUGGGACUGAGAUACGGCCCAGACUCCUACGGGAGGCAGCAGUGGGGAAGAGUGCACAAUGGGCGGAAGCCUGAUGCAGCAACGCCGCGUGCGGGAUGACGGCCUUCGGGUUGUAAACCGCUUUCGCCUGUGACGAAGCGUGAGUGACGGUAAUGGGUAAAGAAGCACCGGCUAACUACGUG
rnacentral:rRNA from 1 species